GACGAACGCUGGCGGCGUGCUUAACACAUGCAAGUCGAACGGAGUGGCGAACGGGUGAGUAACACGUGGGUGACCAGCCCUGCACUUCGGGAUAAGCCUGGGAAACUGGGGCUAAUAACGGAGAGUGGUGGAUGGGCCCGCGGCCUAUCAGCUUGUUGGUGGGGUAAUGGCCUACCAAGGCGGGGACGGGUAGCCGGCCUGAGAGGGUGGACGGCCACAUGGGGACUGGGAAAAUGCCCAGACUCCUACGGGAGGCAGCAGUGGUGAAUAUUGCACAAUGGGCGGAAGCCUGAUGCAGCGACGCCGCGUGGUGGAUGACGGCCUUCGGGUUGUAAACUCCUUUCACCAUCGACGUGGUAGAUGGAGAAGAAGCACCGGCUAACUACGUGCCAGCAGCCGCGGUAAUUC
rnacentral:rRNA from 1 species